GUCCGCACCGUAAACGAUGAUUACUAGUUGUUGGCAAUAUGACCGUCAGCGACCAAGCGAAAGCGAUAAGUAAUCCACCUGGGGAGUACGCCGGCAACGGUGAAACUCAAAGGAAUUGACGGGGGCCCGCACAAGCGGAGGAGCAUGUGGUUUAAUUCGAUGAUACGCGAGGAACCUUACCUGGGCUUGAAAGUUAGUGACCGGUUCUGAAAGGAACUUUCCCGCAAGGGCACGAAACUAGGUGCUGCAUGGCUGUCGU
rnacentral:rRNA from 1 species